AAGUCAUUGGCUGUCAGUAUCUCUGGAAGACCCUAAGAUAGUCUUCCAGAAUCUUCAACAUGUGGAUAACUCUAAAUUGCCGGUAAAGUCAAUAUUGUGCCUGGGGAAGAGGAUAAAUCUGACAAAACAGAUUGCUCCAUUGAUUUAGAGCUUAAAAUUGGCACUAGGUUCUGCCACCCUAGAGCACAUUACACAGAAAGCUUAUCCAACGAAAGUCUUACCAUAUUCAUUAACAACGUCGAAAGUAGCCUACUUUAAGAGAAAAUAUGCAGAAGAAGAAGAUUUACAUCAAGAUUACCAUGGGUAUUUUCCAAAACACCUGAUAUUGCCAGAGGACAGGACUUGCAUUCUCAAACUUUCUCUAGAGAAGCUCAGGUUUCUAGAAGAUCCAGAAACCUACUUAAGAAGGUCUGUGUUAAUUAACAACUUGCUGAGGAAACUCCAUCUAGAAACGGAGAAAGAGCGCUAUGAAUACUUUAAAGAAGCUCCCUGCUAUAAGACUGCUUAUUCUGAUACAAGAAAACGGCUGAAGUUUAUGGUACAGGAACGGUGUUCCCAGUCUCUCUAUUAUGAAGAGCUGCAUUCGUACCAUAUUGUGCCUUAUGCUUCGGAGAAUGCAAUUUAUGGAAUGGGCUACACAAGCAGCCCCUUGGAGCAAAAUUCUCAGUUGCUUAUUUAUAAAAUGAAUUAAAGUAACUGUUAAGU